rnacentral:sRNA from 1 species
GGCUUUCCACAGGCUGGCCCUGACGAAGCUGGACAUCCUGGACGUACUGGGUGAGAUUAAAGUCGGCGUCUCAUACAAGCUGAACGGGAAAAGGAUUCCCUAUUUCCCAGCUAACCAGGAGAUGCUUCAGAAGGUCGAAGUCGAAUAUGAAACGCUGCCUGGCUGGAAAGCAGACACCACAGGCGCCAGGAGGUGGGAGGACCUGCCCCCGCAGGCCCAGAACUACAUCCGCUUUGUGGAGAAUCACGUGGGAGUCGCAGUCAAAUGGGUUGGUGUUGGCAAGUCAAGAGAGUCGAUGAUCCAGCUGUUUUAGUCGCAGACUGAGCUGAUCCCAACAGGCCCUGGCAGCGUCUGGACUUGUAUAAACAGCAGCAAUCACGUUCCUCGGCCACCACAACCAACACCAAAGCAGGAAAACCAUUUUCUGUACUUUUAUAUUUCUGUUCAACCUGUUGGUUUCUACAAUGAUUUUAAACAUUGGAAAGCCAGCCUUGUGUAUAUUUUUAAAAAUUAUAUUUAAAAUGAGCCAAAGUGCUCAAAGCAGAGACCUUCUAUGACACCUUAGUGUCACAUGGUUGCGUGUCCAGCCGAAGCAGCGUAAUAAACAUCUCCAAUGGCCGCCG